CAGGAAUCAUUAAUAUACACAUCGCAACAGAUGUAAAAACUUGGUUGACGACAUAUUCACUUGAAGGAAAUUCUACUAUAACGAGAUGUGUGUAACCGGCUAUCGAACACUCUUUAAUGUGGUUGGAUGUUGUAUUAUUUAUUUCCAUUUCUUUAGUGCUACUUGAAUUUUAAUUUCGUUCUUUAAUUUCUUCAAUUCUGGAGUGAUGUCGAUC